UCUCUCGUAGCUCAACUGGCAGAGCAGCCGACUGUUAAUCGGCAGGUUGGAGGUUCGAGUCCUCCCGGGGGAG
rnacentral:tRNA from 1 species